rnacentral:tRNA from 1 species
GGUCCCGUAGUGUAGCGGUCAUCACAUCGGAUUCUGAUUCCGGUAACCCCGGUUCGAUUCCGGGCGGGACCU